UUCCCCGCUGAAGAUGGCCUGUG
rnacentral:piRNA from 1 species